AGCAGCCGCGGUAAUUCCAGCUCCAAUAGCGUAUAUUAAAGUUGUUGCAGUUAAAAAGCUCGUAGUUGAAUUUCGGGGUUAGCAGGUCGGUCGUGCCAUCGGUAUGAACUGGUCUCGCUGAUCCCUCCCUCUUGACGAACUGUGAUGCCAUUAAUUUGGUGUCGCAGGGAAUCAGGACUGUUACUUUGAAAAAAUUAGAGUGUUUAAAGCAGGCUCACGCUUGAAUACAUUAGCAUGGAAUAAUGAAAUAGGACGUUUGAUCCUAUUUUGUUGGUUUCUAGGAUUGACGUAAUGAUUAAUAGGGAUAGUUGGGGGCAUUAGUAUUCAAUUGUCAGAGGUGAAAUUCUUGGAUUUAUUGAAGACUAACUACUGCGAAAGCAUUUGCCAAGGAUGUUUUCAUUAAUCAAGAACGAAAGUUAGGGGAUCGAAGACGAUCAGAUACCGUCGUAGUCUUAACCAUAAACUAUGCCGACUAGGGAUCGGAUGAUGUUAAUUUUUUUAAUGACUCAUUCGGCGCCUU
rnacentral:misc_RNA from 1 species